rnacentral:lncRNA from 1 species
UAUGAGAAGACAGUAUUAGGCGUGCUGAAGUUAGUUUAUGCUUUUAGUUGUAAAUUCACAUCUAAUACUAGUUGAACACAAAUUUCAGCAAAUACACAGAAGAAAUAGCAAGAAUUCAUUUCAGAAAUGGGAAAAAAUUAAAUUAAAAAUAGAAAACAAAGGGCCGAAAAGCUGCAUACCUAAACACAAUUUCAUAUCUUUUUAUCCUCUUCGAGUACCGAUCCAUUCCAGAGAGAGGGAGAGAGGAGGAAGGAGACGACGAAGGGGGAGAGGAGGGAGAGGAAGGCGAGAGGAGGAAAACGACGGAGGCGAUUUACUGUCUGUGUUGUUCUCGCGGGGACUGCGAGAUGAACGAGGUGAGGAAUGACCAGGUGGCUCUGGGC